CCUCACUCUCUCUCUCUCUCUCUCUCUCUCUCCAUAUCUCCCUCUUGCUCUUGAACUCUUUCUCAGAAGUGAUCGUGAUUAGUACAGUAACCUCCAUUUCCUCUCGAAAGCCUCUCUCUUCUCUCUCUAGAUCUCCUUCUUGCUCUCAAAAUUUCUCUCAGAAAUGAGAACCGUAACCUCCAUUCCCCUCUAAAAAUCUUUGUCCAUCCUAUUGCUCUUUCUCAUUAACGCUUCCGCAACUUUGUGUGGACAGUGAUCGGAACAGGGGUUUGCUUGUAAGGGAAGGUGGAAUCCCUCCGUUGGUCGCUCUCUCACAGUCCUGAAGUGCCCUAGCGAAGCACAAGGCUGAAACAUUACUUGGGUAUCUGAGAGAACCGAGGCAAGAGCAUCCUCUUCUAAUCCUGUGGAGAGGAAUUGGAAUCAUAAAUAUCAAGUUUGUGCUGGCCAUAAGACAACCAAGUUCCUGAUUCACACUGAAUCAAAGAUCAAACUACAAAUAAUCACCAAAACGCCAGAUUUACCCAGUCGAUCCUUGUUUUUUCAUUGGUCCAUUCAACCUGCUCUGACCCAAUUUUCUAUUUAAUUGCUUUCUUUCUUAACCCUUUUUUUUUUGUUUUAACUGGUCAAAGAUCAGUACAGAUUGAAAGAGCAGUGUUAUCAAUACCUGCUGGAUUAGAGGAAAGAUUUGGUAAUCCAUGAAAGGAUCGGUGCCUCUUUUUUACUUUAAGAAUACUAUCCCUGAAAUUUCUCUCUAGUCAAAUACUAGUGCAUGAUAUGAUCAAGAAGAAAGAAUUAAGUCUUUUUAGGCAUGCCAUGUCAGGUGUGGCAAGGAGGAGAUCAUUGAUCAGGGUUUGGUUAGAAAGAUAGAAAGCCAAGUUUCCAGGAACAGGACUAUGAUAAAUUAAAGAUAUGCUCUUUUUUUACUUUGGUAGUGUAAAUUUUUGACGACUUUGACAAGUUUUGGAUGUGAUACUGGCUUGACUGGAUAUUAGUGAUUGAUAAUAAUAUAUUGAUGUCUUGAUUAC